rnacentral:rRNA from 1 species
GACGAACGCUGGCGGCGUGCUUAACACAUGCAAGUCGAACGGAAAGGCCCUGCUUUUGUGGGGUGCUCGAGUGGCGAACGGGUGAGUAACACGUGAGUAACCUGCCCUUGACUUUGGGAUAACUUCAGGAAACUGGUGCUAAUACCGGAUAGGAGCUCCUGCUGCAUGGUGGGGGUUGGAAAGUUUCGGCGGUUGGGGAUGGACUCGGGGCUUAUCAGCUUGUUGGUGGGGUAGUGGCUUACCAAGGCUUUGAAGGGUAGCCGGCCUGAGAGGGUGACCAGCCACAUUGGGACUGAGAUACGGCCCAGACUCCUACAGGAGACAGCAGUGGGGAAUAUUGCACAAUGGGCGGAAGCGUGAUGCAGCAACGCCGCGUGCGGGAUGACGGCCUUCGGGUUGUAAACCGCAUUCGCCUGUGACGAAGCGUGAGUGACGGUAAUGGGUAAAGAAGCACCGGCUAACUACGUG